rnacentral:rRNA from 1 species
GUUUGAUCCUGGCUCAGAACGAACGCUGGCGGCGUGCCUCAUACAUGCAAGUCGAACGCGAAAGAGGGGGUAACUCCUCGAGUAGAGUGGCGAACGGGUGAGUAACGCGUGAAGAACCUGCCUUCAACAGGGGGAUAACACUCCCAACGGGGUGCUAAUACCGCAUGAGACCACGGGAUCGCAUGGUCCUGAGGUCAAAGGUGGCCUCUAUUUAUAAGCUACCGGUUGAAGAUGGCUUCGCGUCCCAUUAGCUAGUUGGCGGUGUAAAAGACCACCAAGGCGACGAUGGGUAGCUGGUCUGAGAGGAUGGUCAGCCACACUGGGACUGAGAUACGGCCCAGACUCCUACGGGAGGCAGCAGUCGAGAGGCUUUGGCAAUGGGGGAAACCCUGACCAAGCGACGCCGCGUGGAGGAUGAAGGCCCUUGGGUUGUAAACUCCUUUUGCUAGGGAAGAAAUGCGAUCAGGUGAACAAUCUGGUCGUUUGACGGUACCUGGCGAAUAAGCUCCGGCUAACUCCGUGCCAGCAGCCGCGGUAACACGGGGGGAGCAAGCGUUGUUCGGAAUCACUGGGCGUAAAGGGCGUGUAGGCGGUCAAGUAAGUGGAAUGUGAAAUCCCUCGGCUCACCCGAGGACCUGCAUCCCAAACUGCUUGGCUUGAGUAUGGGAGAGGAUGAGGGAAUUCCUGGUGUAGCGGUGAAAUGCGUAGAUAUCAGGAGGAACACCGGUGGCGAAGGCGCUCAUCUGGCCCAAUACUGACGCUGAGGCGCGAAAGCUAGGGGAGCAAACGGGAUUAGAUACCCCGGUAGUCCUAGCCGUAAACGGUGAUCACUAGUGUUGGAGGCAUCGACCCCUCCAGUGCCGCAGCUAACGCAUUAAGU